GACGAACGCUGGCGGCGUGCUUAACACAUGCAAGUCGAGCGGUAAGGCCCUUUCGGGGGUACACGAGCGGCGAACGGGUGAGUAACACGUGGGUGACCUGCCCUCAGCUCUGGGAUAAGCCUGGGAAACUGGGUCUAAUACUGGAUAUGACUCCACGGUGCAUGUCGUGGGGUGGAAAGCCUUGUGCGGCUGAGGAUGGGCCCGCGGCCUAUCAGCUUGUUGGUGGGGUGANGGGCCUACCAAGGCGACGACGGGUAGCCGGCCUGAGAGGGCGACCGGCCACACUGGGACUGAGACACGGGCCCAGACUCCUACGGGAGGCAGCAGUGGGGAAUCUUGCGCAAUGGGCGAAAGCCUGACGCAGCGACGCCGCGUGAGGGAUGAC
rnacentral:rRNA from 1 species